AGGUGCGAUCAUACCAGCAUUAAUGCAUUAGAUCCCAUCUGAACUCCGUAGUUAGGCAUGCUUAGACGAGAGUACUAUUAGGAUGGGUGACCUCCUGGGAAGUUCUCGUGUUGCACAUU
rnacentral:rRNA from 1 species